AUUGAACGCUGGCGGCAGGCCUAACACAUGCAAGUCGAACGAGUGGCGGACGGGUGAGUAAUGCUUGGGAAUCUGGCUUAUGGCGGGGGAUAGCUACUGGAAACUGUCGCUAAUACCGCGUACCAUCGGCUGCGCCCAUGUGGGAUUAGGUAGUUGGUGGGGUAAGGGCUUACCAAGCGACGAUCUCUAGCUGGUCUGAGAGGAUGACCAGCCACACCGGGACUGAGACACGGCCCGGACUCCUACGGGAGGCAGCAGUGGGGAAUAUUGCGCAAUGGGGGCAAGCCUGACGCAGCCAUGCCGCGUGAAUGAAGAAGGCCUUCGGGUUGUAAAGUUCUUUCGGUGAGGAGGCGUUAAUCACAGAAGAAGCACCGGCUAACUCCGUGCCAGCAGCCGCGGUAAUAC
rnacentral:rRNA from 1 species